GAUGAAGAACGUAGUGAAAUGCGAUAAGUAAUGUGAAUUGCAGAAUUCAGUGAAUCAUCGAAUCUUUGAACGCACAUUGCGCCCGCCAGUAUUCUGGCGGGCAUGCCUGUUCGAGCGUCAUUACAACCCUCAGGCCCCCGGGCCUGGCGUUGGGGAUCGGCGGAGCCCCCCGUGGGCACACGCCGUCCCCCAAAUACAGUGGCGGUCCCGCCGCAGCUUCAUCGCGUAGUAGCUAACACCUCGCGACUGGAGAGCGGCGCGGCCACGCCGUAAAACACCCAACUCUUCUGAAGUUGACCUCGAAUCAGGUAGGAAUACCCGCUGAACUUAAGCAUAUCAAUAAGCGGAGGA
rnacentral:misc_RNA from 1 species